rnacentral:rRNA from 1 species
UGGGGAAUAUUGGACAAUGGGCGCAAGCCUGAUCCAGCCAUGCCGCGUGAGUGAUGAAGGCCCUAGGGUUGUAAAGCUCUUUUAACGGGGAAGAUAAUGACGGUACCCGUAGAAUAAGCCCCGGCUAACUUCGUGCCAGCAGCCGCGGUAAUACGAAGGGGGCUAGCGUUGCUCGGAAUUACUGGGCGUAAAGGGUGCGUAGGUGGAUCUUUAAGUCAGGGGUGAAAUCCUGGAGCUCAACUCCAGAACUGCCUUUGAUACUGAGGAUCUUGAGUUCGGGAGAGGUAAGUGGAACUGCGAGUGUAGAGGUGAAAUUCGUAGAUAUUCGCAAGAACACCAGUGGCGAAGGCGGCUUACUGGCCCGAUACUGACACUGAGGCACGAAAGCGUGGGGAGCAAACA